UUUUGAGGUAAAAGUUACCAAAACAAAUAAACAACCCCCCUCCCCCCCCAGUUGCAAUAGGUAUAUCUACAUUUUCUCAGGUAACCUUCUCAAUGAGGAAAGUAGUCUACAAAUAUAAACAGAACAGGGAUUUCAUCUCCCUUACCUAUAUUUGCUGCUCUAAGACAGUUAGCUAGGACAGUAUUCCUGAGAAAGGAGUUCCUGGACAAAUGUGUUUUCUUCAGUGGCCCCUGUAUAACUCAUCUACUUGGAAAUGAAGAUCUAUAGUUGUGAUGUAUAUGCUCAGAAAAAUUAAUGCAGAACAAAAUUCUCCUACUGGAAUAUGUUUACUUCAGAAAUUUUGAGUUCCAUUGUGACAGAGGAUUGCUUAUUCCCUAAUACAAGCAUCAUCCCCUGCAGAGAGCUUUCCCUUUUGAACUUGUGUGAAUUGACUGAAGCUUUGUUCCAAGUCUCUCUGGAGUACUGACAUUCAGGUUGCUGACAGAAGAACCCUGAAGAUAGCUCAAGGGGAUUUCUGUAUCCUUUCAGCUGCCACUAUGAUCAGGUUUUUAAAGUUUUCCUUGAAGAUGAGUUCUAAUUGAGAGCUAAACAAUUCUGAAAGCUUUUCUGUGGAAGACAGAGUUAAAGCAAACAACUGAAAAAAAAGAAACAAAGAAUGAAAGAAACUCUUAAGAACUAGUAACCCAUCUGGAGGACAA
rnacentral:lncRNA from 1 species